UCCGGUUGAUCCUGCCAGAGGCUACUGCCAUCAGAGUUCGAUUAAGCCAUGUUAGUUGAGGGUAUCUCUUCUUCUUCGGAGGGAGAGGGAACCCNGGCAGACGGCUCAGUAACACGUGGAUAACUUGCCCUUGGGUCUSGGAUAACCCCUGGGAAACUKGGGCUAAUACCSGAUAGGGCAUUGGCCGCUGGAAUGCGCAAUGCUCGAAAACUUAGGUGCCCAAGGAUAGGUCUGCGGCUGAUUAGGUCGUUGUUGAUGUAAUGGACCAACAAGCCUACGAUCGGUACGGGUUGUGAGAGCAAUAGCCCGGAGAUGGGUUCUGAGAAAAGAACCCAGGUCCUACGGGACGCAUCAGGCGCGAAAACUUUACAAUGUGCGAAAGCASRAUAAGGGAACUCUGAGUGCCUCCAAAGGAGCUGUUCAGGUGUCUAAAAAGCAACUGAAGUAAGGGCUGGGCAAGACCGGUGCCAGCCGCCGCGGUAACACCGGCAGCCCAAGUGGUAGCCACGUUUAUUGGRUCUAAAGCGUUCGUAGCCGGCCAGGUAAGUUCCUUGGUAAAUUUAGCCGCUCAACGGUUAAGCUUUCAGGGAAUACUGCUUGGCUUGGGACUGGGAGAGGUYAGAGGUACUCCAAGGGUAGGGGUGAAAUCCAUUAAUCCUUGGGGGACCACCGGUAGCGAAGGCGUYUGACCAGACCAGCUCCGACGGUGAGGGACGAAGGCUAGGGGCGCGAACCGGAUUAGAUACCCGGGUAGUCCUAGCUGUAAACGAUGCGGGCUAGCGUGUUGGCAUUACUGCGAGUGGUGCCAGUGCCGAAGGGAAGCCGUUAAGCCCGCCAUCUGGGGAGUACGGNUCGCAAGGCUUAAACUUAAAGGAAUUGGCGGGGGAGCACCACAACGGGUGGAGCUGCGGUUCAAUUGGAGUCAACGCCGGAAA
rnacentral:rRNA from 1 species